GGAAUUUUUGUGUAUUUUUAAAGCCUUAAUUUUGCCCGUGUGUCUAACAUGAGGACCCCGGCAGAGAUCUAUCAAAGGGCCACAUCUAUAGACUGUGGUAGUUGGAGUAUUCACCUUUUCAUUCAAUAUCCGGCAUUUGAACUUGUUGUACUUAAACAUUGCCAGUAAAGUUUCUUUCUUAACUUCCAGUCUUUCAAAAGCUUGUUUUUCUUUAAUGAUUUUCUUACACAAAGCCUCCAGAGAAGAGAAAUCAUUGCUAGACACACCCCCUUCUUCGAGGUACAUGUC
rnacentral:misc_RNA from 1 species